rnacentral:tRNA from 1 species
GGGGGAUUAGCUCAGCUGGCUAGAGCACCUGUUUUGCACGCAGGAGGUCAUCGGUUCGACUCCGAUAUUCUCCAUUUUAUUUAAAAUAUAUAAAGUUC